rnacentral:SRP_RNA from 1 species
UUCUCGGCUUUACGCGACUUACGCCCACUAACCCCGUCAGAUCCGGAAGGAAGCAGCGGUCCUUGGAAACGCAGUGUCGUAAAUCACCGGGGAGUU